rnacentral:rRNA from 1 species
CAUGCAAGUCGAGGGGCAGCAUGACCUAGCAAUAGGUUGAUGGCGACCGGCGCACGGGUGAGUAACACGUAUCCAACCUACCGGUUAUUCCGGGAUAGCCUUUCGAAAGAAAGAUUAAUACCGGAUAGUAUAACGAGAAGGCAUCUUUUUGUUAUUAAAGAAUUUCGAUAACCGAUGGGGAUGCGUUCCAUUAGUUUGUUGGCGGGGUAACGGCCCACCAAGACAUCGAUGGAUAGGGGUUCUGAGAGGAAGGUCCCCCACAUUGGAACUGAGACACGGUCCAAACUCCUACGGGAGGCAGCAGUGAGGAAUAUUGGUCAAUGGACGAGAGUCUGAACCAGCCAAGUAGCGUGAAGGAUGACUGCCCUAUGGGUUGUAAACUUCUUUUAUAUGGGAAUAAAGUGAGCCACGUGUGGCUUUUUGUAUGUACCAUACGAAUAAGGAUCGGCUAACUCCGUGCCAGCAGCCGCGGUAAUACGGAGGAUCCGAGCGUUAUCCGGAUUUAUUGGGUUUAAAGGGAGCGUAGGCGGACUAUUAAGUCAGCUGUGAAAGUUUGCGGCUCAACCGUAAAAUUGCAGUUGAUACUGGUCGUCUUGAGUGCAGUAGAGGUAGGCGGAAUUCGUGGUGUAACGGUGAAAUGCUUAGAUAUCACGAAAAACUCCGAUUGCGAAGGCAGCUUACUGGACUGUAACUGACGCUGAUGCUCGAAAGUGUGGGUAUCAAACAGGAUUAGAUACCCUGGUAGUCCACACAGUAAACGAUGAAUACUCGCUGUUUGCGAUAUACGGCAAGCGGCCAAGCGAAAGCAUUAAGUAUUCCACCUGGGGAGUACGCCGGCAACGGUGAAACUCAAAGGAA